rnacentral:rRNA from 1 species
CGGUAAAACGUAGGGGGCGAGCGUUAUCCGGAUUUAUUGGGCGUAAAGCGCAAGUAGGCAGCGUUGUAAGUUGGACGUGAAAGCUCCCGGCUCAACUGGGAGAGGUCGUUCAAAACUACAGUGCUCGAGGUUGGAAGAGGAGAGUAGAAUUCCCGGUGUAGUGGUGGAAUGCGUAGAUAUCGGGAGGAAUACCAGUGGCGAAAGCGACUCUCUGGUCCACACCUGACGCUGAGGUGCGAAAGCGUGGGUAGCGAACGGGAUUAGAUACCCCGGUAGUCCACGCCGUAAACGAUGGAUACUAGGUGUAGGGGGUCACUGAAUCCCUCUGUGCCGUAGCAAACGCGUUAAGUAUCCCGCCUGGGGACUACGGCCGCAAGGUUAAAACUCAAAGGAAUUGUCGGGGGCCCGCACAAGCAGCGGAGCGUGUGGUUUAAUUCGAUGAUACGCGAAGAACCUUACCUGGGCUGAACUACGUGGUAGUAGAGAAGCGAAAGCGGAUCGACCCUUCGGGGAGCCUCGAUAGGUGCUGCAUGGCUGUCGUCAGCUCGUGUCGUGAGAUGUUGGGUUAAGUCCCGCAACGAGCGCAACCCUUGUCGUUAGUUAUACGUGUCUAGCGAGACUGCCGGUAUCAAACCGGAGGAAGGUGGGGAUGACGUCAAGUCAGCAUGGUCUUUAUGUCCAGGGCUACACACACGCUACAAUGGCCGGUACAACAGGUUGCUAUACCGCGAGGUGGAGCUAAUCCCUAAAGCCGGUCUCAGUUCGGAUUGCAGUCUGCAACUCGACUGCAUGAAGGUGGAGUUGCUAGUAACCGCGCGUCAGCAAUAGUGCGGUGAAUGCGUUCCCGGGCCUUGUACACACCGCCCGUCACAUCAUGGAAGUCGGUAACACCUGAAGUCGGUGACCUAACCGCAAGGAAGGAGCUGCCUAAGGUGGGACCGGUAACUGGGAUGAAGUCGUAANCAG